CUACUAUUCCCUCCGUCCGAAAAUACUUGUCAUUGAAAUGGAUGUAUCUAGAUGUAUUUUAGUUCUAGACACAUCCAUUUUGAUGACAAGUAAUUCCGGACGGAGGGAGUAUUAU
rnacentral:pre_miRNA from 1 species